rnacentral:rRNA from 1 species
UAGGGAAUUUUCCGCAAUGGACGAAAGUCUGACGGAGCAACGCCGCGUGAGUGAUGACGGCCUUCGGGUUGUAAAGCUCUGUUAAUCGGGACGAAUGGUUCUUGUGCAAAUAGUGCGAGGAUUUGACGGUACCGGAAUAGAAAGCCACGGCUAACUACGUGCCAGCAGCCGCGGUAAUACGUAGGUGGCAAGCGUUGUCCGGAAUUAUUGGGCGUAAAGCGCGCGCAGGCGGAUUGGUCAGUCUGUCUUAAAAGUUCGGGGCUUAACCCCGUGAUGGGAUGGAAACUGCCAAUCUAGAGUAUCGGAGAGGAAAGUGGAAUUCCUAGUGUAGCGGUGAAAUGCGUAGAUAUUAGGAAGAACACCAGUGGCGAAGGCGACUUUCUGGACGAAAACUGACGCUGAGGCGCGAAAGCCAGGGGAGCGAACGGGAUUAGAUACCCCGGUAGUCCUGGCCGUAAACGAUGGGUACUAGGUGUAGGAGGUAUCGACCCCUUCUGUGCCGGAGUUAACGCAAUAAGUACCCCGCCUGGGGAGUACGACCGCAAGGUU